GUGGGGAAUCUUCCGCAAUGGGCGAAAGCCUGACGGAGCAACACCGCGUGAACGAGGAAGGUCUUCGGAUCGUAAAGUUCUGUUGCAGGGGACGAACGGCACUAUAGCCAAUAAGUAUAGUGAAUGACGGUACCCUGUUAGAAAGCCACGGCUAACUACGUGCCAGCAGCCGCGGUAAUACGUAGGCGGCAAGCGUUGUCCGGAAUCAUUGGGCGUAAUGGGAGCGCAGGCGGAACAUUAAGCGGAUCUUAAAAGUGCGGGGCUCAACCCCGUGAUGGGGUCCGAACUGAGGUUCUUGAGUGCAGGAGAAGAAAGCGGAAUACCCAGUGUAGCGGUGAAAUGCGUAGAUAUUGGGAAGAACACCAGUGGCGAAGGCGGCUUUCUGGACUGUAACUGACGCUGAGGCUCGAAAGCCAGGGUAGCGAACGGGAUUAGAAACCCGGGUAGUCC
rnacentral:rRNA from 1 species